UACAGAGGUCCCAAGCGUUGUUCGGAUUCAUUGGGCGUAAAGGGUGCGUAGGUGGCGCUGUAAGUCGGGUGUGAAAUUUCGGAGCUUAACUCCGGAACUGCAUUCGAUACUGCGGUGCUCGAGGACUGGAGAGGAGACUGGAAUUCAUGGUGUAGCAGUGAAAUGCGUAGAGAUCAUGAGGAAGACCAGUGGCGAAGGCGGGUCUCUGGACAGUUCCUGACACUGAGGCACGAAGGCCAGGGGAGCAAACGGG
rnacentral:rRNA from 1 species